rnacentral:rRNA from 1 species
GACGAACGCUGGCGGCGUGCUUAACACAUGCAAGUCGAACGGAAAGGCCCUGCUCUUGUGGGGUGCUCGAGUGGCGAACGGGUGAGUAACACGUGAGUAACCUGCCCCUGACUUUGGGAUAACUUCAGGAAACUGGGGCUAUUACCGGAUAGGAGCUCCUGCUGCAUGGUGGGGGUUGGAAAGUUUCGGCGGUUGGGGAUGGACUCGCGCCUUAUCAGCUUGUUGGUGGGGUAGUGGCUUACCAAGGCUUUGACGGGUAGCCGGCCUGAGAGGGUGACCGGCCACAUUGGGACUGAGAUACGGCCCAGACUCCUACGGGAGGCAACAGUGGAGAAUAUUACACAAUAGGCGGAAGCCUGAUGCAGCAACGCCGCGUGCGGGAUGACGGCCUUCGGGUUGUAAACCGCUUUCGCCUGUGACGAAGCGUUAGUGACGGUAAUGGGUAAAGAAGCACCGGCUAACUACGUG